rnacentral:lncRNA from 1 species
CAUGCCUCACACUACUCCCCUUCACACCACAAAUCAAGCCGCCGCCUACCUUCUUUCUUCUUCCAACCUAGCUGGCCCUAGGUCUUUCCUUUCCUUUAAAAACUAGCCGCCCAAACCUCUCUUCUUAUGCCAUCUACGGCAUUUCUUAAAAAAUCAGCAACCUAUCUUUUUGUCUUUAUCCUUCCCAAAACUCACUUUCCUCAGCCCAUAUUCUCCACCAAAUCUCUUCCUCUUGCUACCGAAGAUUUUCUCCAAGUCCAUGGCAAAGAAUCUCUAGAGUUCGGAAUGCAGAGUGCGGUGAAGAACUUCCCUAUGACCGGCUAGACACUAAGUUUUUGGGAGAUCGCUGGAAAUUAUUUUGAUAGUUUGUUUUCUGUUGCAAAAUCUUUUGUAUUUCUCUUUCAUUAUGCAAUAAAGAUAUGAAUUUAUUUGCUUAUCUAUGUGCAUCUUUAUUUUCUUUGUCUGAGUUUUCAAUCUAGAAUAGUCUAUUCUCCUAGGAUGAUCUGUGAUCUACGGGUAUGGAUCGUACUCUUAAGAUAGGUUAUAUUUAGAUGAAGCUUUGUCUCUUGUAUCUAAUUUAAUUUAGACUAGUCUAUAACUUUAAGGAUACAGAUCGUGCUCUCUAAGAUAUGUUAUAUCUUUAUUAUUUAGAUAUCUAAGAAAGAGCAGAUGAAAGAAGGGUACCGGCUGUCAAAUAAGGAAUAGUUGAGAUCCUGUUAAUCCAUCUUCAUAUUUGAACCAAACUUCCAUCUUCGCUAAAAUUAAAAUUUGUUUAGUUCUUUAUUUACUUGAUUUUAUAUUUAAUAGACUUUUAAUUAAUCAAACUUCUAUUUAUCUUCAAUUUAAGAUUAAAAUGACUUAACCGUAAUUAACACAGUCCCUAUGGAUAUGAUCAUGACUCACCUUAUCUAUAUAGUUGUAAGUUAAGUAAUUAAUUUUGACACCUACGACAGCAAUCACUUCCAUAGCAAUCCACCUGUCGCAGUCGAAGUAGUACAACUCCUGAAUCCAAUGCGAUGCAUCCUUCGGCCAUAAUAGAUCUAUCACCAUCCAAAGUCUUGGUUCACCAGAUUCAGACACUGAUCUAUGCUAUACAGCAGCUCCAACAAGUGACGGAGCAGCAGUAGCAUAUGGAACCAAACUCUUGAGUAGUUCCCUCCUAUUUUAGCUGAUGAUCUCAUUCUUAAAGUCUGAGACCCGCCAUUCGGCAGCACUCUCGCCACUCCACCAUCGUUCCAGUCCAUUCACCUUCCCUCGAAGCCUAAGGGAAGGGGCAUGGCAAAGAAGCUCUUCUCCAUCGGUGAUUCAAUCUUGACCUAUUAUCUUAAGCCUGAGAGAUCUUGGAAGGGGAAGUAGCUCAAUAAAAGAGUUCGGGACAUCGAGCAUCACCUCGACAAAAUCUAGAUUGGGCCUAAUUGAAAUAGUGAUGGCCUCAACUUCGACUCCCGAUCACCAUUCGCCUAGGCCAUCCUAGAGGAGCCGAUCCUGAGUUGGUUAGUCAGUUCAAAAUUCCUCAACUGGAGCUGUAUGAUGGCUCCAUAAAUCUCUUGAUCAUCUAUAGGGUUAUAGAACCCUCAUAAUGGUUCAGGAUGCUUUGAACAGCCACUUGUGUCUCACCUUCCUACCCACCCUCAAAAAAUCGAUGCAGGCAUGAUACUUUGGACUUUGAUCAGGGUCCAUCUAUUCAUUCGAACAGCUCCACAGGCUAUUCAUUACUUGUUUUAGUAGUUGUCGACCUUAAUCGAGGAACUCCGACAGCCUCUUCUCCCUCCACCAAGAAGAGGGUGAGUUACUGUAUAAGUACGUUACAGGUUUUAAUGCUAUUUGCCACACUUGAGAUAUGUGAUAAGUGGUAUAUUUUUAUAUUUAUUGAAGAUAUUUUUGAUAAUUUAUUGUGCUAACAUCUUCUUAAAAACUUAAUUUCAUGAAUAAAUUAGAUUUUUUUAUAAAAAUAAAUAAUUUUUAAAAAAAUAUAAAAUUAGAGCAUAUUUAUGAAAAAUAGAUGUCAAUUUAACUAGGCACUUUUAAGCACCAAAAUAAUAAAAAAUUUUAAAAAAUCUAAUGCAUAUUUUUUCUUAUUUUUCAGAUGAAAAUCAAAACAAAAAUUAAGCCAAAAUAUCCUAAAAAUGAUUUUUAUAGCCUUCAGUGCAUGGUGGACCGACCGCUUGGUCCAUAAAGUCAGGGCGUAGUCCAUCGAAAACAUGUCACAAUCCACAGGAGCGGUCCACGAUGGGCGGAGAUGAUUUCGCACGAUCUGAAGGUCCAUAUUCAUUCUGAUCCAGAUCGGAUGGCUAACAGUAUUCUCGUGUAAUAAGGAUUCUUGGGCACGAUCUGACGGCCUAGAUUCUAUCUAUCGCACGAUCCAAUGGCUGAGGACGCUCUCAACUUUGAAUAGAAGAUCAGAGGUGUGAUCUGAUGGUUGAAAUCUCAUUUGAAGCACGAUCGAAUGGUCAGAAUUGCAUCCGACUUUGAUAGAAUUAAAACAUAGAUUUUUGGGUUGAUCUGGGCGGUCCAAAGGUGAUCCGACAUCCAGAUAUUAAUGUAAAGGAUAUUAUAUGAAUUCUAAGGAUUUUAGGACUCUUUUUUUUAUCAAAAAAUAUGAAAAAUUCAUCUAUAAAUAGGGAGUCCAAGAAUAAGUUUUGAGAGAAAAAAAUUAGUAAAAAAAUAAAGAAAUAUUAGAAAAAAAAAUAGGGGAUGUUUAGAGAUCCAAGAGAAAAGAUGAAUAUGGAGCUAGAGAUCUUGAUGCAUGGCUAAAUCCCUUCAAUUCAGGAAUAUGAUAAAGCCUGUAAAUAAGUUUUUAUUUUUUUUAUAUUUAAUUUUUAUAUAAUAAAAUUAUAUUUUUAUUUUAUAUUUUUUUAUUUUUCUGAGGUAUUGAUCUAGCCUACAUGAACUAUAACCUUCACUGACGUACCAUGAUUCCUGAAUAUGGUACGUACCUCAGAGAGAUAGAUCGUAAUAUGUUAGAUUAAAUUUUAUAUUUUAUAAUUAAAUUUAGAUAGUUUAUACUCUGAUAGGAUGAGCUGUGAUCUACUGAUACAGUCUGUACUUCUUAGAGAUAAGCUAUACUAAUACCUUAAUCACAAGAAUUAAUAUUACAACAUAAAAAAAAAUAAAUCUAUUUUGCAUGAUGGAUUCAAAAUUUUUAGAUUAUUUCUUUGAUUUAUUUUUUUUUAUAAAUUAAUUUAUAUUUAUAAUUAAAUUCUUGCUAUUUUAUUUCUUUUUAAUCCUUCUACAAUCAAUUCUCUUCUAUUUCUUCUUAAAAAAAAAGAUAUCCCUAUGAAAAUGAUCCCGACUUACCCUAUCUAUAUAGUUUGAGUUGAUUUUUUAUUCUUGACCACCUACGACAGCGAUCAAAUUUUAACAUCAUUGUCGGAGAUCUAGGCAUGAUUAUUUUUUAUUAAAUUUUUUUUUUAGUCUUAUUCUUAGUUUCUUUUUAUUUGCUUUCUAACUUGCUUAGUUACUUUGUAAAAUUUACUUUCUUCUAGAAAAAAAAAAUCUCUACAUUGACACCUCAUAAUCUACUUAGAGAAUUAGAUACUUAAUCACAAAAUCUAAAAAAUAAAAUAAAUCAAUUUACUCUUGACUAACUAUUAAAUUUGGUCACUUUUUUUCUUGCAUUGCAUAAGUCCAUAAAACAUCUUAAGGGUACAAAUCCUGAACAAGAUAAGGUGGAGAUUUCAUCAUCUUUUCUUGGCCCACAAAUCAUCAUCUUUGCAUAUUGUAUUGACCUAAACCUUAACUUAAAAUUAAUUAGACGUUGAUCUCUAAGGACUCUCGAGCUCAAUAGGACAAGAGAUCCUGAGAGUUGGAUCGGAUUAGGGUUAGUCAGUUUGACUGGUGUCUAGAAAAGUAAUUCAGAGACUACGUCUUGAAUGAAGGUGGUUAUUUAAUUGGUUCUGUUUGCUUAUCUGACCAACUCAGUUGGUGUCUAAGAAAAGCAACGGAGGGACCACCACCAAUCUUACACUUAUUUGGCCAGUUGAGUGGCUAAUCUUUUACUUGAAGUGCUCAAAGACAACCUUAGCAGUUAGGAGCUGUCUAGAUCUAAGAUUAUCUUUAGCUAGGAUUGACUGCAUAGCUUGAUUACUAACCUACGAAUAUUAAAUCUAACUAAAACUUCCUUAUCUAUCGGUUCAGGAUCCCUUAGGACUCUCAUCUCUAGAACUCUUCUUCUUCUCCUCUUUUUCUCUCAUAUAAAAAAAAUUAAAAAAAAAUCUACUAGGAUAAAAUGAUGAUUGUUAGACACAAUUUAAAGCCUACAAGCCUACAAGGUCACUUAGGAAGAAAUUGAUUCCAAUAGAUAACCUAGAACCCUGCUGGACUUGUGUUAUUCGAUUAGCUCUGUCCAAUCGUCUAGAAUUAGAUUCUCGACUAACAAUUUUAUAAUUGGCUUUCAAAUGAUUAACAUACAUUCUACAUUUACUGAAAUUAAAAAUGCAUACAUUUAUUCAAGAAAGUUUGAAGAUACUAGAAUUGCAACUUUGAUCAAUAGAAUUGAAGCCUUGGAAUUUGAAAGAUAUAUCCAAUUUAACCAAGUGCUAGCACCCAUGUGCAUUGGAUGCGAUGCACCAGAUCAUGUUGUGGAGAAGUAUCCUUAUUUUAUGAACCCAACCUAAAUUGAAUUCAUACAGGAGAGUGUAUUCAAUGAAAGCUACAUAAAUGAACCUUAUGCACCAACCUAUAACCCAGGAUCGAAAAGUCAUCUCAAUUUUAUAUGAUCACAAGAUGCAACAUUAGGGGCCUAUAUUUUUUAUCAACCCUAUCUAAGGCCCAACCAAACACUGAAUAAUCAAUCAAAUUUAGAUCCUGAGGAAGGAGUCAACACAUUAGAAAAGAGUCUAGAUGUCUUAGCGCAAUCAACAUCAGACAUUAAAAAUAUUUUCAAUAAUUUCAUGCAAAUCACUGAUCAGUUAUUUAAAUAAUUGGGCCAAUCAACUAUAGCGGUUAGUAAACUAGAAGAAGAUAGAUUAUCAAGCCAAUUAGAGGAUGACCCUAGAGCUCAGAAUGGUCUAGAACUUAAAGAUCGGUUCAAUCAGUUGAGAACAUUCAGGUGUGAGGAAUUGGAGGAGAUACCCGAAGUUGAUAAUAAUAAUGAGGUAUCCACACCUAGUGACCAUUACACUCAGCUAAAUCCAAAAUUAAUUGUUGAAUCCCUCAUGACACUGGUGGAACCUCGACUUAAAAAGGAAGAGGCAACAAUAAGAGAUCUAAAAAUACUCCCUCAGCACAUCGAGUAUAUAGAUCUGGUCUCUUAAAAUCCCAACUAGUACUUAAGUUAUACUUAGAUCUAAUUAUAGUGGAAGAAUUAUUAGUUAUCAGGAGAACAAGUCACAAAAUGGUCCUAAGUAGAAAAUAUCUUGAGGAAGAGCCUGAAUUACGUAGAGAAUUGUAAACCCAUAUUAAGAUUCAGACAGAAAUAGGAUAGGCACUCUUUUAGGUCUGGCUGAAGACGUUAAACUUAAUAUUUUUUGGGAGGCAAUCCAAAUUUUUUUUACUUUAUUUUAACCAAUCUUUAUUUUUUUUAAGAAUAAAGGAUAGCUCUAUGUGGAAACACCUAUCAAUAAUUUAGUCUGACUGAAGACAAUAAAUUCAGUACUUUUUGGGAGGCAACCCAGUUCCACCUUUUGCUUUUGCUUUUUUUUGUAUUUUAUUUUGGUUAAUCGAGGCUUGCUUCGUAUCUUUUGUAGAGAUUUGAAGACAAAAUUGGCUAAGUUGGAGGGAGAACUAAUUUUGAAAAAAUAUCUNNNNNNNNNNNNNNNNNNNNGGAUCAGGUGAUAUCUUCUUUUUUUUUUCUCUUUUUAUGCACCCUUUAUUUUUUCUACUCCAUUGAGGACAAUAUCCAUUUUGUUGGGGGGCGAGAAUAAUAAAAUUAUUUAAAUUUUUUUAAGUCUUCAAGUAAGUUAGUAUUUCAUAUUUAAGCACCUGAUUACAUUUCAGAAUUGAGUUAAAUCAAAUAUUUUUUUAAAAAAAUUGAUGUAUAGAUUAGAGAGUUUAUGAGAUAUUGAGGGAUCAAGUAUUAAGAAAACUCAAUAAAGUGUUAAGUUUAGAACUUAAACAAUUUUUUUUGAGUAUUUCUAAAUUUUUCUACCAGCAUCAAAGAAGAGUUUACUUUCUAUGGGUUUGUGUAGGGUAACUAUAUAUUUCUUCAUAUUUAAAAAAAAAGAGAAGAGUUUUUAAGUACUUUAUACUGAGUAACCGGGUCUCUUUGCCUAAGCAAGCAUUGAGUUUCGCAUCAAAAAGUGUGGAGGAUAAAGAAAUUUGUUGUAAAGCUAGUUUUAACUCGUAGCCUAUUUGAUUUGAGUAAGUAGAUCCAAGAGGUAUUCUAUACCUAGUGCCCUAAAGCCAUUUGGUUUGGGAGUCAUUGGCUGAAGACUCACUACAUGAGUCAAACAGAAAGCUUAAGGGGUUAAGACACUCAAUAGCAGUACAACAUUAAAAAAAAAAAAAAAAAUCAAAUUGAUAAAUGNNNNNNNNNNNNNNNNNNNNAUUUAGUAUUCUUAGUUUAACUCUUAUAUUGAUUAGUGUUAAUACCUCAAUGACAUAACUUACUAAUCCUCUACUGAACAUCAGUGGUCCUUUUUAAAAUUAUUUCAUGAAAUUCAAAAUUUUAAGUUAAAUGGUAUUUAAUUUUAAAUUCUUUUUUUACUCGAGGACGAGCAAAAUACAAGUUGGAAGGUGUGAUAAAUGGUAUAUUUUUAUAUUUAUUGAAGAUAUUAUUGAUAAUUUAUUGUACUAACAUCUUCUUAAAAAUCUAAUUUUAUGAAUAAAUUAAAUUUUUUAUAAAAAUAAAUAAUUUAAAAAAAAAUAAAAUUAGAGCAUAUUUAUGAAAAAUAGAUGUCAAUUUAAUUAAGCACUUUUAAGCAUCAAAAUAAUAAAAUUUUUUUGAAAAAUUUAAUAUAUUUUUUUUAUUUUUCAGGCAAAAAUCAGAGUAAAAAUUAAGUCAAAAUAUCUUAAAAAAUAAUUUUUAUAGCCUUCGGUGCAUGGUGGACCGACUGCUCGAUCCACAGAGUUAGGAUGCGGUCCAUUAAAAAUAUUUCACGGUCCACAGGCGUGAUCCACGAUGAGCGAAGAUGAUUUCAUAUGAUCCGAUGGUCCACAUUUAUCCCGACCCAGAUCGAACGGCUGACAGUAUUCUUAAGUGUAAUAAGGAUUCUUGGGUGCGAUCUAAUGGCCUUGAUUCCGUCUAUCGCACGAUCCAACGGCUGAGGACACUCCCGACUUUGAAUAGAAGAUCAGAGGCACGAUCCAAUGGCUGAAAUCUCAUUUGAAGCAUGAUUGGAUGGCCAAAAUCACAUCCAACUUUGAUAAGGAUUAAAACAUGGAUUUUUGGACUGAUCUGGGUGGUCCAAAGGUGAUCUGAUGGUAAAAAAUUAAUGUAAAAGAUAUUAUACGAAUUCUAAGAGUUUUAUGACUCUUUUUUUUAUCAAAAAAAUUUAAAAAUUUAUCUAUAAAUAGGGAGUCCGAAAAUAAGUUUUGAAAAAAAAAAUCAAUGGAAAAAUAAAGAAAAAUUAGAGAAAAAAAUAAGGGAGGUUUAGGGAUCUAAGAGAAAAGAUGAAUAUGGAGCUAGAGAUCUUGAUGCGUGGCUAAAUCCCUUCAAUCUAUGAAUACGAUGAAGCCUGUAAAUGAAUUUUUAUUUUUUUUUAUAUUUAAUUUUUAUGUAAUAAAAUUAUACUUUUAUUUCAUAUCUUUUUAUUUUUCUGAGGUAUUGAUCUAGCCUACAUGAACUAUAUCCUUCACUGACGUACCGUGAUCCCUGGAUACGAUACGUGCCUAGGAGAGAUAGAUCAUGGUAUAUUAGAUUAAAUUUUAUAUCUUGUAAUUAAAUUUAGAUAGUUUAUAUUCUGACAGGAUGAGCUGUGAUCUACUGAUACAGUCCGUACCCCUUAGAGAUAAAUUAUACUAAUAUUUUAAUCACAAGAAUUAAUAUUACAAUAUAAAAAAAUAAAUCUAAUUUACAUAGUGGAUUCAAAAUUUUUGGAUUAUUUCUUUGACUUAUUUUCUUUCAUAAAUUAAUUUAUAUUUAUAAUUAAAUUCUUAUUAUUUUAUUUCUUUUUAAUCUUUCUAUAAUCAAUUCUCUUUUAUUUUUUUUAAAAAAAAAGAUAAUCGCCUUAGAUCUUCGUGGAAACGAUCCCGACUCACCCUAUCUAUACAGUUUAAGUUGAUUUUUUAUUCUUGACCAACGAUCAGUAUGAAUCUUUGAUUAGUCAGUGGCAAUGUCAGUGCUCAAGCGAGGCUUACAGAAUGAGCGUCUCACCUUCUCUCUCGAUAAGAAGUUUUCGAGGGACUAUGCCAACCUGUUGACCUGAACUCAGAUGUAUGCUUAGACAAAGGAGGCUUGGGAGCUUCAUAGAUAGAUAGAAGGAAAGAAGAUUUUCAUCAAGAAGAGGGGUUGGGAAGAUCCUCGAUUGACUUGGAUCGAGAGGGAAUCUUUCCAACCAUGAAAAAGCUACCAUUCAAGGUGUCCUCCCCAACGAUUCAAUAGCUACACUCCUCUAUGAAGGAAAGCAUGGUGGAUGAUGUGCAUAUAUUUUUAAAAUUUUACAGUGAAACAUACAUAAAUUAAAUAAUUUAAUCUAUAAUACAUGCAAAGAUCAAAUCUAAAAUCAUCAUACAGGAUCUAUGACAUGAAUUAAUAUGCAUGUAUAUAAAUCUAAAAUUCAGCAAGUAUAGAUCAUUUCUAUUUCAUAUUUAGAUCAUAUUUAAAAAUUAAUUGAGAUUAUAACCUCAUACCUGAGUACGGAUAGUAAAUCACCGCAUCCAAAAUUUGUAGUACUUGGUUCUUCAUGAUGCUUGGCAGCCGCACACACGUUCGACCUCUCCAAGUAUCCACACAAAGUUCUUGUACUGAUCGAUCUCCCUAGGAGUGCUAGCUCACAAAGACACCAUGCAUUGGCUAAUCUAAGAGAAAACACAAAGAUGAAGAAUAAUGAGACCCUUUCUUUUUCUUCUUGGAUCUAUGCAUCUGAUCUCUACAAUAGAGAUCAAGAAAAGAACCCUUUCUUCUCAAUUUUUUCAUGCAUAAGAGAGAACCUUUCUCUCUUCCUUUCACGCCUUUGAAAAGAACUUUUCUUCUUUGAUUUUUUAUGAUAAAAAUCAUAAGAGAUCUUGAGCCCUAGAAGAAUCCAAAAGAGGGCUUCAAGAGAAGAACUGUUCUUCUUUCUUUUUCUCCCUUUUUCUUCCUUGAUCUAGAAUUCUAGGAAGCCCCUUACAUCCAACCAAAUUUUUUUGAUAUUUUUCCUUUAAAUAUUUAUGUUAAAAAUUAGAUCUAAUCUAAUUUUUAUCUAAAAAAAAUAAAAAAAAAUCUGGAAGAAGAACUUUUUCUUCUUCAAGGCUGCACACAAGAAAGAAGACCCUUCUUCUUCCUUGAUCUAAAACUCUAAGGAGCCCCAAACACCCAACUAAAAUUUUUUGAUAUUUCUUCUUCAAAUUAUUAUAUUAAAAAUUAAAUUUAAUCUAAUUUUUAUCUUAAAAAAAAUAAAAAAAAAUAUGAAAGAAGAACUCCUUCUUCAAGACUGCGUACAAAAAAGAAGACCCUUCUUCUUCCUUGAUCUUUAUCUCUUUGGAAAGAACUUUUCUUCUCCAAUUUUUUUAUUGUAAAACUAGUAGAGAAGCCUCUCUUUGAUUUCUAAAAACUAGCAACAAACUCUCACAAAAAUUUUUUCAAGAAGGGAGGAGAAGAGGAGAGACAAGGUGCAUGAGAUAUGGUUGGACGCCCCUUUCUUCCUAUUUUUUUUUGGGUGACAAGGAGGAGAAGGGAUGCCUCAUGCACGGAAGAGAGGAGAAGGGGUGCAGCAUCUGAUUUUUGGGCAUGGGGUUUCUUUCAACGUGAAAAGAGGUGGGGCGUGGAGAAAUUUAUAUCACAUAGGUUGGUUUGGGUUUAGUCCUAUUUCAAAUAGAAUUCAAGAUUUUGAUCAAAUUUUAACUAAUUUUUAGAUCCAAUCUUAACUAACUUAGGAAUUAGUUAUAACAAACUAAUUAAUUAGGUCCUAGCCCAAUUAUUAGGCUUUAAUUAAUUUUGGAAUUAGUUAGAUUAAAAUCCCAUUGAUCUUGAGAUUGAUUAUUGAUGGAUUCAGAGAAGCUAUUUGAUAAUAGAACUUGAUCUAAUCAAGCCUAUUAUUUAAUAGAAUUUGAUCCAAUCAAAGUCUAUAUCAAACUAAUCUCAUUAAUUUGAUUUUGUAUCCUUAAGAUGAAUUGGAAUAAGUCCUAUCAUUCAAUAGGGCUGCAUCCAAUCAAUCCAAGGCCAAUCUAAUUGAAUCUAAUUCAAUUAGAUCUAAUUCAAUCCUCAUUGCUCAAUCAAAUUGAGUCAAUUAACAAUCAUAUUAUUAAUUAAUUAUUACUAUAAUUUAUCAAUCAUUAGUAAAAAAAUUAUUGUAAUCUUUGUAAAGAAUUAAUUAUCAAUCAAAUUGAUAAUUAAAUCUUUCAAUGAUUCAUAAUCAUCGAUCAGCCAUUUGAUUAGACAGGUACUUCUAUGUGUGUGAUCCUAUAGGUUCGAACCUAAAUCGAUAGUACAAGAAUAAUUUUUGUACUAAUCGAUGUAACCAUCUAGCAAUGGGAUCCGACGUCUGGAUAGGUCGAAUGUAUGCCCAGCAACACUCUAGAACCCAUGUGGAUAUAGUUACCGUAUAAUUCAUCUCUUUGACACUUGAUGCUCAAGGAUGAUAUUGGGUUAAACUGUCAACUCAAGAUGAGUGGACCACAUUAUGUCUCAAUUUCAAAAAUCUUGUGACUCCUCACUAGGACUACUUUGGCCAAAGUUUUACUGAAUUGAAACACAGUGAUGUAUCAUCUCCAAUUUUACUUGGAGAGGUCAAUCCCAUUUUGACUCGCACUCAGAAUUUAUAAGUACUUGACUGUACCCAAAAAUCUUCCAUCAUCGAAUUAGAAAUUUGGAUAGUCCGGCACUAAAGCACAAUAAGUUACUUGCAAGUCAUCGAGAUAGUCUCAUAUCCGAGGGACACUUAUACCCAUAUCCCAUCAGAGUAACCCUUGACAGCAGAGUGCUCCAAAAAUGGUCAUGCUCAGUGAAAUGUACUCCUACAUAUCACUUAUAUGCCAUACCCGUGUCACCACACAUCUUAGUUAAGAGGACAAUCAACUAAUAUGGCACAUAAUGACCUACACUCGAUACAAUUAUCGUCCUUAUAAUAAUUGUAUUAUUUGAUCGCGAGCAGAAUUUAAGAACCACAUGAUAAAUCUUCUUUUAUCAUUUUAGUAGUAGUUCUAAAGACUUCAUCAUAACAUAUGAGUUCUAUUUUGGAAGAUGUAUUUCUUAUGGUGAAUCUGUCAGAUAACAUUUAUCAUUUUGUAAUUCAUAUACUUGUAUGGAGCACAAUCAUAUACAACCUAGAUGAUUGACUUUAGGAUAUAUUUUCUAACACUCUAUCCAUCCCAUAAUCUCAUAUUCUAAUCGAGAUCAUUGAUCAGGGGUAUCUAUGAUGAACUGGACCGAUGAAGUCUCCUUCAGAUAGGAAGAAUAGGAGGAGGUAUUGUUGCUUCUACUAUGACUAUGGCUAUGACACGAGGAGUGCCACUAGCUCAAGAAUGAGAUUAAGGUCUUGAUCUACAGAGGCUAUUUUGGCAAGCACAUGUGAGAGCGGCAAGGUCAAGCCCCUGACGAGGAGAGUAACAAUAACUGACCAAUGGUCAAAGUCAUUAUUGCCAUCUCUACUUUAGCGGGAGGUGCAGGGGGUAGGAGAUAAAAUCAAAUAGAUAAAAGGAAUGGUGCCUUGGGGGGAAGUCACUGGCGCCAUUGUUGCAUUACCAACGAUAGCCAGCCCCGAUGUAAAUGUAUUUUCCAUUUAUAAUGAAAACUUAUCUGACAUCUUGUUUUACAAUGUUGUCUAGAGGAUGAAAUCGCUAGUUGACUUAGAAAAGGAGAUGCUGGAGCAAAGGCCACAUCAAGCGAUGCAUGGCCCCAACCAUAGUAUUCUCGAGAGCAAACUCGAAAGGCUCAUGCGACAUAUGACAACUUGAUCGGAUUCUCCAUGGAUGAAGCAUCGAAACCCCAUAAGGCCCAAUGCCCAAAAAAAAGUAAGAAGCUCACCAAGACUUUUCUUGAUGCGAAACCCUGAUCAUCGGAUAGUUGAGAUAGCCCACUGUAGCCGUUGAUGUGGCCAACUAUAGCCAACUGAGGCAUGUCCUUAAAAAAUCCAACAUAGCUUACUGUAGCCAUAUAGCUCACUGUAGCUAGGAAGGCCUACUGUAACCAUCAACAUGGCCCACUAUAGCCAUAUAGUCCAUUAUAGCCGUGACGGUCAGCUCAUUAUAGCUGUCAAUGUGGCUUCCUAUAGCCAUGGAUUAUCCACUGUAGCCAACCGAAGCAAGUCUUCAAAAAAUCCAACAUGACCCAUUAUAGCCAUAUGGCUCACUAUAGCCGAGACUGCCCAUUGUAAUUGUCAACAUGGCGCACUGUAGCCAUGGGUGGCCCAUUGUAGCUAACUGAGAUAAGCCUUCAAAAAAUAUAACAUGGCCUACUAUAGCCAAGAUGGCCUACUAUGACCAUCAACAUGGCCUACUGUAGCCAUGGGUGGUCCAUUGUAACCAAUAGGGGCUAGUCCCCUAGAGAUUUCACACUGCCAGCGAAAGUUCAUGAUGAUAGUGGGAGAAGAAUCAACACAUCCCAAAGCAAUAAGGAAAAAUGCUUUAUUAUACAAAGAGAGCCUCAAUGAAAAUAUAUUUUCAUUCAAAAGGUUCAUUACAUCUCAAUCGAGCAAAUCUCGUUACAAGAAAGAAAGAAGAAAGGAUCAAAAUGGCCCGCCCGACAACCUUGGAGCGCGAGCUAGGCUUCAAGAAGAUGUGAUCCCUGAUGGAGAAUGCAAGACUCCUCGUUUGGCGACACUCACCAACUCCCUUAAAAGAAUAUUGGUGACAGAGUGGGUGCUUCCCUUUUCGAAUCCCACUCACCUUUAUGAUGCAUCUCUAGGAAAGGCUAGAAAGCAACCCUAGGCAAAAGAAGAAGCAAGCUCUUUAGAAAGAUCCGAGACCUAACCAUGGAGGACAAGGCAUCUAGAAGCCCAGAUGGUCGCCUUCGCAACCCCUCAAUCGGAGCGGUGGAAUUUUCGAAUACCUCCAGGCCAAAGCGAGAUGCACACUGAAGUGCUCCCUCAAAGCAUCCAGUGAAUGAUCGAAAGAGGGAGAAGGUCUCCGAAGCUAAAGAAAGGCACCAGUAACCCUCCAUCACUGGAUAAGGCAACUCCACCACGAUAUUGAGAAAGACAAUCAAGACGGUACCAACCAUAAGUAGCAAAGCUCCUAUUUGUAGAAGGGGUAAAUCCAGGCAAAUUCAAAUGCUCCUCUAGCUGUGCAACAAAUGUCGCCCACUAAGGAGUGUCAAAAGCUGUGCCUUCUGAAAAACAGAUAUCAAUAUUAAAUGCGAGCCCCACCAGAUCUUUAAAAUGUAUGAUUCUUUGCCAUAUAAUAUCGAGGUGAAUCAUCUUCUAUGAUUCAUGAAAGCAAUGUAGUGCUAGUCAGCAUUCGGUGCUUGGCACAUGCAUGAGUCUGAGACUUUUGAAAGCCUAUUCUUUUUAUGCAUAUAAAGUAGAAGCUUUGGCUAAUAUCGAGGAAGAUUUUGACUUAAGCACGGAGUCAAUCCGACCGACCUAUCUAAGCCAUUCGAGCUCUUGAUCGAGGCAAAAAGCCAACCAUACCAAUACCAUAGAGAAGCAAAAGCUUAAAAUGAGAGGCACACAUAAUGAAAUACAUAUUUUUUAUUAAUUAAAAAUUUUAUUACAAAACUUUGUCAAGAUGAAGGCACCAAAAGUAAAUACAAAAAGAUGAAGACUUAAUCUUUGUCCGAAGAAAAUGCCCUGACCUCCUUAUCACUAUUACUGAGGGGAGGCACCUCAGAUUUAGCUUCGGGACCAUCCUCUUCAUGUGCACCUUGCAAUCCUCAGAGCCUUGAAUGAACCUAGCCGAAGAUGCCUUGAUGAGCUCAUCCUUAAUGUCUAUCGAGGUUUUGUACUCCUUAAUGCAUCAGAGCCUAGCCUCAGUGGAAAUCUCCAUGGUAGCAUUGGCGAACUCUGGCUACCCCUAGGUAGACGAGGGUUCUCUCCAAACCUCGUCGAACCUCCAAAGGAAGGCGAGGUCCAACCUGAUGAAAAAGGGGCCUGAUGUGACCCUGACACAGUAGCAUGAGAUCCAGUCCCUGAUGAGGACUGAGAAUUCUGGCUAGGUGCUCCUCACCCUCUUGGAUGAGGAUUCUCCAUGAGAGGAGUUCAUCUUCUUCUUCACGGUCUAUUUAACAGCUGACAGCGAUGGCUUCAUGACGAUGAGACAAAGAAGAGAGAACUUUUUUCUGACAUUUGCAGCAACUGAUAGUUAGAUGGCAGAAAAUUCCAUCGGAUGGGUGGCCUAUUUAUGCAGGCCAAUGAUGGUGCAGAUUGAAUCUUCGAAGUGCUAGAUUGCACACUUAGCCCAUCCUGAAAUGGCAGACCGCGCAGUCUUUCAUCACAUCCUUAUCUGAUCAAACCGCGUAGGAUAAUUCACGAAGCAUGCUUCGGAACUCACAACAACUUACCAUGUAGUAAGUCUAGGGUGAGCCUGGGAGCAAUCCCUAGAUCUCCUCUCUCUAGAGCACCAUUUCGUAACACCUCGAGCUCCAUUCCUAAAAAAAUGGUGUGAAUCGUGACACGGCACGUCUUUAAAUUUCUGAGAAUCUUUGCUGAAGGCAAUAACUCAGACACGAAGAAGUCGUGUCAACGGUCUAGCUACCAAGAUAGUUACUCCCUUUGCUUGAAGCCUAAAAGUCACUUCAAACUUGGGAGUGGAGGGCAUAUGUUGCGGGAGAGAUUCACUGAUCAGGACCAAUCCUCUAUGGGGCACGCCCAAGAUAAUAUGAUGAGGUCACACCAGCUGUGAACCUAGACACUACUUGCAUAGGCGAAGUCUACACCCGACAUCUAUGACUAACAACCUUGAUAUGGAAGAAUGAAGGAGAUUCCUUAACGACAGGCCCAAUAGCCUGUAUGGCUAGACCAGACAAAUCCACUCCGGCUAGCAGCCCACAAGCUCAACCUCUAAAUAAAAAAAAGAUACGAAGGGAACCCUAAGGUAAGCCAAGCUCAGGUAAGAAGAAACCUCACUCCAUCCUUACUAUUUUUUCUCUCUACUAUUUUUAAAGUUUCAGCUAACUUAGACAUCAGAGGGUUUAUCGUCGAAACAUCCUUAGUGAUCGUGUGGACUUUCUUUGUAGGUACUCUUUGAUAUCAUGGAUCUCGAUCGGCAUUUGACUCCAGCCACAUCAGCACCCUCCCGAAAUGUUGCAGCAAUAACACUAUUACUAAACUAUAUAUUUUAUUGGGUAGCACUUGGUCGUUCACAUAUCAUAUCGUUCGGAAUUAAUGAUGAAAUUAGCUGUUCAACUAACAAGCUGGUCUGCCUACGAAGUUUGCCAAUAGAAGGAUGACACUAUCCCAACCCAAUCUUGUCUUAAACAAAAUUGGAUUGAGUAGAAUUAGGUUAGGUAGGCCAAAUUAAUCAAGUUAAAUCAGAUUGAAAAUAGUUAAUUUCAUUUAAGAUUGAUAAAAAGAUUUUCAACAUUUGGAUACAAAUAUACAAUGCUAUAACUCAAUAGGACUAGAAAUGUAAUUAAGGGUACAUUUGGUUAACCAAAAAGAAAGUAUUUUUUUUUAAUUUUUGAAAAGCAAAAAUCAAAAAACAAUAUUUGGUAACACCAAAAAAAAAGCAAAAAAUAAAAUAAAAAAUAAAAAUAAUUACUUUUUGUGUAAAGCAAUUUUUUUUUGCUUUUUAAAAUUUGCUUUUGCUUUAAAAAAAUAAGUAAAAAAUUUCACGUCUUCUCCCUCCACUACGACCCCUCUUUCUCCCAAGCACUCGUCUGCCUCGUCUCGUCUGCCACCCAAAUCACCCUCCAGGAGUCCUCCACCGCUGCACUGCCGCCCCUACCAUAGUGGAUCGCCUCUCCCACUUCCUCUUCAUGUCCCUCUCUCGAUCCUUUCCCCUCCACGCCAUCUUUGGAAUGUGGAAAGAACUUGGCCUUUCCGACGACUUCGAGGAUUCGAUCAUCGUCUAGAAUCCUACUAUCUUCUCGCUCUGAGAUAACUUACGGGAGCCUAACACCCAUCAGUUGGAGUUCAUCGAGGGAAACCCCAGCCCUAAUUUCACACCGAUAGUGGAGUAGAAAUGGUAAAAUCGAUCCAACCUGAUGGGUAUGCACCCUACCUAAACCCGAUCAAAUCCGAAAAUAGGGUUUGAUCGGGUUUGAGUUCGGAUUCGAAUAAAAUCUAAAAACUGUAGCACGGGUAUGGGUAAUACUGUUUUCUACCCAAAUCCGAACUCGAAUCCGAUCCGAACCUACGGAUAUGGAUAAUACCCGAACCAAUACUAAAAUAUAUAUGUUUAUAAUUUUAUUUUGAUAAUUCUAUUUUGAUUGAUAAUAUGCAUAAAAUUAUUUUGAUUAUUUAUAUAUUCUAUGUUGAAUUGUAAUUCUAUUUUUAUGUUUGAUUUUUAUAAAUUUAGAUUUAUAAAUUAUGUUCUAUGUUGAAUUGAUAAUUUUAUUUUGAUUGAUAAUAUAUAUAAAAUUAUUUUGAUUGUUUAUUUUUUUUGGGUAUGGGAUAGGCAUAGGAUGCGUAUGGGUUGAGUAUGGAGAAAUGAGUUAUCCGUGGAUAUCCUCGAACCCAUUGGGUAUGGGGAUGGGUAUCUCUUUUCUUACUCGAUCGGGUGUCGGAUAGGGUAUGGGUAUAGGAUAUAGAGUUUGGGUUUGGAGAUGGAUAGUAUAAUAUCCGACUCAAACCCUACCCAUUGCCAUUCCAAUAGAGGAGUGGCGGCACCAAGAGAUGACUAGGGAGAGAUCCAAAGUGGAUGACAUGGAACUCAGGUUUGGAUUCAAGCACAGAUUUCUUCUCGGGAUGCAGCUCAUGUGUCGGCAGGGAUUGGAGGGAGGGUAGUUGGGAGUGGAACCGACACCGGAGGAGGAGGAGUCUGGUUCAGCUGUUGACAACAUCUGAGUGGUGGUUUAGAAAGUCAGUAAGAAUGCAGAGUAUGGUAAUAGCCAAAGUACUAGCCGACAAAGAGGUAUGUAGUUAAUCAGUCCUUUAUUUUUUUUAAGUUAGAUAAUUUUUUUAAAAAUUAGAUAAUUAGUGAAAGCAACUAAUUACCAAACAUAUUUUUUACUUUUUGUACUUUUGUUCUGUAGCAAAAAUUAAAAAAAUAUAAAAUACUUUUUAGAAAGCAAAAAUCAAAAAAAUAUAACCAAAUACGCCCUGCAUAAAACACAUGAACUUCUUUUAUAGGAACCAUAAAUAUAAGUUUGUUUAUGUAGUGCUCGGAGUUGGAUUGGGCUAAGUUAAGUUGGUUGAGUUUGGUUUGGGUAUAAGCUCACCUCUAACUAUCGAACUUUGGAUUGGAUUUUUGAGUUUAAACCCAAACAACCCAACCUAGCCUCAUCUAUUGGGAUUCAGAUUCAGCUAAGCAAUUUGUCUCCAUAGUCAUGGAGGUGAGUUCAAAUCCUCUAUGGUGCUUAUUGGUGCUUGUUUGGCACCAUAGAGGCUGAUGCAUAUUUGGAUGAGUGCACUUGCCCAUCUUGGGCAUGGACGACUAGCGGCUAUCAUCUUGGCAUGCAAAAUAUGGUAGGUUGAGAAAUGAGUGACAACAGUCCAUCUCCAAGAUAUUCACCAUGCUCUAUGGUUUAAAAAAUACAUAAAAUAGAGAGCUCGACUCCAAGGAGCUAGGCAUAGGUGGUAUGUGCUACCAAAGUCAAGGCACCUGUAUAAGUAGGUUGCUAUUAUAAACUUUGGCUCCUGAGCAUGGAAUAUUAUUGUACACCCUAGCUGUAUAUUCUUAGACCCGAAUUCAAGAUAUCAGAUUGCAGGCUAUUGGUCCAUUUGCUAACCCUAGGGCACGACUAUUAUCAUCCUCUUGCUGACUCUUUUAUUCCCCCCCCUUUUUUUUUUUUGUUUUUGCUAAAUAAGGGAAGCACCUAGCUUAUCAUCACCAAGAACAAUAUUAGGAGCCUCAUGAUGCCUAAGAUAGCUCUUGUUUACUUUUUAUUUUUAUCUCCUUCCAAUAUCCAGGUAAGUUGCUCUCUUGUUAAAACAUCAGUCAGAACGUCAUGGAUCCUAGAGCUAGCUAUACAUAGUCUCAAUAUAAUGAAUUCUAGACAUGAUGGCCAAACAUUUCUGAAGCUUGCAGUGGAUAAUGCUGUGGCUCUUUAGACAUUGAACAACAAUUUCAAAAUGGAACUAAAGCUGUGCAAAUCUGGGACUGUGAUCAUGGACAUUCUCAAGGCAGCAAGAAUUGCAGUUGAUUUCUGAUCAAAGCACAUCUGUUGCCUGGAUCUUGCUCAUCAUCUCGGAGCUUGAAACCAUGGUCACUACCACGAUUCACGAAACAUUAGAAUGAUAGCUAUUACGGCUUUUAAUUUUGGUCCUAGGGUAGAAAUACUCUAGAUAUCCUAUCUCUUUCUAUAGAUAUCUCUGUUUAUAAAAGAAAUGUACCAGCGUCUUCGAAGCAUCUUUACUAUCUCUUAGUUGCAAACUAGAAUUUGUUAGAACAGUUGUUCUUAAUCUUGCUAUUAUGGCCAAUAUUUGUUGUUUGCUUUGUUGAUAGGAGGAACAUCAAAAGGUUGUGUAUCAUUACAGCUUAGAGUUUUCUGUAGAUGCAUAAAGUUUGUACACAAGGGACGUGUUUGGCUCAUGAUCAGAAUGCAUUAGAAUAAAAAUCCGAAUCUAUGUUCUUUAAUGUAUUUGAUUCAUGAUUAAAGUCAGAAUCCGG